UCCAUCCCUUUCUCUCUCUUCCCUUUUAACCUCUGUGGUUUUUGUUGAUCAAUUAUUCUCUCUCUACAAGGUGCAGAAGCAAUGCUUUCCCUCGCUUCUUGUAAUGACUGUGAAACUUUUAUGCUCUCGCUACAAUCACAUCCUUUCUAUCUCUUCCACUAAUUCAAAAACGCUAACGUUUAAGUUAUGCAGAAGAAUGGCCCAUGUGGCACAAAGUAUCAUAGAACACAGUGAUACCCAUUUGGCCCAAAGUUACGUGGAACCACAUGACUUGGAGCAUGGGUAUUCCGUGCUGCUUAAAUCAUGCUCUGAACCUUCUUUUCUAAAGCAAGGCAGGCAAAUUCAUGCUCAAAUUCUCACUCAAGGGAUGGGUUUCAUGAAUAUCAAAGUUUUAUGUAUGUAUGUUCUCACUAGAACCCUAUUUGAUGCCUUGAAAUUGUUUCAUAGCAUAGAUAGAAGGCACCCCAUGCCAUGGAAUUGGAUUAUUAGGGGAUUUAUAUUGACUAAUAAUUUUGAAUUUGGUCUUUUAUUCUACUUAAAAAUGUUGGGUUUUGGAAUUCAACCGGAUAGUUACACUUUUACUUAUGUUAUCAAGGCCUGUUGUAGUUUAUCAGCUAUAAGUAUUGGAAGAUUGAUUCAUGAAUCUAUGGUCGCAAUUGGGUUUGAAUUGGAUUUAUUUGUGGGGAGUUCUUUGAUGAAGUUAUAUGCUGAAAACGGUUGUAUAGAAGGCGCAGUUCAAGUGUUUAAUGAAAUGAGGGAAAGAGACUGUGUAUUAUGGAAUGUGAUCAUAACUGGUCAUGCUAAGCAUGGUGAUGUUAAUGGGGCGUUUAGGAUAUUUCAAAGGAUGAUGGGUUCGGAUAUAAAACCCAAUUCAGUUACAUUUUCUUGUGUUUUGUCAAUGUGUGCCACUAGUUCGAAUUUGGAUCACGGGAUUCAGCUUCAUGGUCAUGUGAUUCGGUGUGGGUUUGAGUAUCAAGUAUCCAUUUCAAAUACAUUAUUGGCCAUGUAUUCCAAAUGCCAUUGUCUACUAGAAUCACGACAGGUUUUCAAGGCCAUGAAUCAAAAGGACUUAGUGUCAUAUAAUGGUAUGAUUGCUGGGUAUGUUCAAAAUGGGUAUGCCGAUGAGGCAUUGAGUUUAUUCUAUGAGAUGCAAUCAGUCGGCUUGAAACCUGAUUCGGUUACUUUUGCGAGCAUUCUUCCUUCCUUUUCAGACCUGGCUGGUCUGAUUGAAGGGAAGGCAGUGCAUAGUUAUAUCAUAAGGAAUGGUGUGCAUUUGGAUGCAUUUGUGAAGAGUGCACUGAUUGAUAUAUACUGCAAAUGUAGGGAUGCGUUGCUAGCUCGUAAGGUUUUUGAUAGGACUGGUUAUCUAGAUGUGGUCAUAUGCAGUGCUAUGAUUUCAGGUUAUGUACUUAAUGGGAUGAGUUAUGAUGCUUUGGAGAUAUUUCGGGGCUUGGAAAAAUUUAGGCUCAAGCCCAAUUCGGUGACUCUUUCAAGUAUUUUACCUGCAUGUUCAGCUUUAGCAUCCUUAAGACUAGGUAAGCAGCUUCAUAACUACAUACUAAAAAAUGGCUUUGAGGCCAGAUGUUAUAUUGGAAGUGCAUUGACUGAUAUGUACGCUAAAUGUGGGAGAGUGGAUCUCAGUUUUAGGGUUUUUGAUAGAUUGCCUGAAAGGGACUCUGUAGCAUGGAAUUCUAUGAUCACUAGUUGUGCUCAAAAUGGGCAGCCCGAAGAGGCCCUAAAACUUAUCCGAAGGAUGAGUUUAGAAGGAGUUGGCUAUGACUGUGUCACCAUAUCGGCUGGCCUCUCAGCAUGUGCAGGCUUACCAGCCAUGCUACAUGGAAAGGAGAUCCAUGGCUUCAUGAUCAAAGGCUCAUUUCGUUCUGAUAUCUUUGCCAAGAGUGCCCUUAUUGACAUGUAUGCUAAGUGUGGUGCCUUAAGUCUUGCUCGAUCUGUCUUUGAUAUAAUGAGAGUGAAGAACGAGGUAUCAUGGAAUAGCAUGAUAGCGGCUUAUGGCAUCCAUGGCCAUGUAAAGGAAGCUCUUCUUUUAUUUCAGGAAAUGGUGGACUCAGGCAUUCUUCCUGAUCAAAUAACCUUCCUAGCUGUAAUAUCUUCGUGUGGCCAUGCUGGCCUUGUGGAAGAAGGUCUCCAAUACUUCAAUAGCAUGACCAAAGACUAUGGUAUUAUGGCUCGAAUGGAGCAUUAUUCAUGCAUGGUUGAUCUACUUGGGAGAGCAGGCCACCUCAAAGAGGCAAUGGGAGUCAUAGAAAAUAUGCCAUUUGAACCAGAUGCUGGUAUAUGGGGUGCAUUGCUUGGAGCUUGUCGGGUUCAUGGCAAUGUCGAGCUAGCUGAGCUUGCUUCAAAGCAUUUGUUUGAGUUGGAUCCUGGUAAUUCUGGGUACUAUGUGAUACUGGCGAAUAUUCAUGCAGAGGCUGGAAGAUGGGAAAGUGUUUUAAGAGUGAGGAGUUUGAUGAAAGAGAGAGGAGUUCAGAAAUUGCCAGGUUGUAGCUGGAUUGAUUUGAACAGCACCACCCAUAUGUUUGUGGCAGCUGAUGGAUCUCACCCGGAGUGUGCUCAGAUCUAUCUAAUCUCGAGGGUUCUUAUUUUAGAACUGAAAGAAGCAGGCUAUGUACCCAGACCAGAACUUUGUUGAGCAUCUAAGCUUCAUAGUGCAGGUCUGGGAGAAGUUAAGCCAGCUUGACUUGGGUGGGCAAAUCUACUUACUCAAUUAGAGCUUAGCUCAAGCCAGGAGUAGCAUGUGCUGACAGAAGCAAUUUAUCUUGCUACAUGGACCCAGCCUGUGGACUCACAAGCUAGGCCAGGGCCUAUGAGGUGUUGCCAGGAGUCACUCAACCAACAAGGCAUAAUCACUCACUCCAGAUUCUUGUUAAGGUCUGAGAGCUGUUAGGCCGGUUGAAUUGGGCGAGAAGAUUUACUGACAUGAUCAAACUGGGAGUGACAUGUAUGGAUGUAAGCAAGUCAUGUUGCCAUAUGGGACGUAGGAACUCAAAAGCUAGGACGCUAUAUUAGAUGCAAAAAUUCAGCGGUAUGGUCCUAUAUGAAAUAAAUAGCAACAAGCGUCAUUCUUCCUUAAUGCACAACAUUUUUUCUAUGUUUUUGAAUCCACUGAUUCAUAGAUGGAUAUACAGAAUAUUAGAAGUUGGAUCGAUUUGGGAUGACUGUAGUGAAGGUCGGCAUUAUGGUAAUCAUGUUUCUUUGAUGAAUCAUUUGAAGAGUCUAGAAAGAAAGGAACAUUGUAUUUCAGAGAAGGCUCAUGGAACAGGGACACUGACAGAAAUCAUCAAGAGGUUGAUGAUAGAAAAGGCCAAGGGUGUAUCAAUUAGAAAAGGAAGAACAGGGAUGUUUGGUAUUAAAACAGUAGAGUUUUGGAACAUUGGAUUGGGGUCCUUCAUUAUUUCCCAUCCAAAGUAAGGCCAAAAUGAAAUAUUAAAUUUCUUCGUACUGAGUUGAAAUCAGAAUCAUGAGUGGUGUUUGAGGGGCCAGGUAUACUAGCAAGUCUCCAAUAUUUAUCAAUCAUGAGGAACUUCCCUUUCCUAUUGAAAUUUCAAUAUAUAUAUAUUUUAAAUUCCGUUCUUAUGAUCAAAUAUGUUUGACAAUUUUCAUGUCCUCAAGAAUCUUGUAAAACUGUAGGAUUUGAUGAUGGGUCGUCCAAGCCUGGUAUGCUUGUGCAUGCUUCUAUGCCAUGUAUCAUCCCCAUAUGUUGCAUAAUUCAUCCAGACAAGAACCUACCAGUUAGAUCUCCAAUCCUUUACUAUAAUGGAACUUAGUAUAUUAAUAAUGAGCAUGGUUAUUUGUGAUGGCCGCAAUUUUUUACAA